rnacentral:rRNA from 1 species
UACAGGGGGUGCAAACGUUGCUCGGAAUCAUUGGGCGUAAAGCGCACGUAGGCGGUUCGUUAUGUCGGAUGUGAAAGCCCUUGGCUUAACCGAGGAAGUGCAUCCGAAACUGGCGAGCUAGAGUACUAAAGAGGAUCGCGGAAUUCCCGGUGUAGAGGUGAAAUUCGUAGAUAUCGGGAGGAACACCGGUGGCGAAGGCGGCGAUCUGGGUAGAUACUGACGCUGAAGUGCGAAAGCGUGGGGAGCAAACAGG